ACAAGAGGAGACUCUUUCUUGGCUGUUGUCAGAGAAAGCAAUGUGAUGACAAAAUAAGGGUCAGAGAGGUGCUAUAUUACAAGAGGAGAAUCUUUCUUGGCUGUUGUCAGAGAAAGCAAUGUGAUGACAAAAUAAGGGUCAGAGAGGUGCUAUAUUGCUGGAUUUAAAGAUGAAGGAAGAGGUCCACAAGCAAGUAAUAUAGGCAGCCUCCAGAAGCUGGAAAAGGCGAGGAAAUGAAUUCUCCCCUAAAGUCUCCAGGAAAAGGUGCAGCCCUACCUACACUUUGAUUUAGUCCUGUGAGACGCACGUUGAACUUCUGACCUACCGAGCUGAUGACAAGAUUUCUUUUGAGAUGAAGGACAUUUAAAGGUGUCAUCAAUACUCAACAGUGGGAAAUAUUUUAAGAACAACCACCAACACCACUACCCUGGAGACACUUUUCUAUCAUCCUACAUGGGCCACCACAAAAAUAAAUCAAACAAGUAAAAGAAAGAAAAAUAAAGACACAGACCAAUUAAGAAGACUGGUUUAUUUUUUAGGAGAAUUCACACGGAAGCUUGAUUUUUCCAUGAACAAAUCAAUCAACCAAAUGUGUUGGAGACAUUGUCAUGUUCACCACACAGACCGUAAAUGACAACCCCAAGGAUAUUGGAAGAGCCACGUGAAAUCUUUGAGGAGCUUUGAUUUGCAAUACGCCAGCUUGCAUCUUGUCCUUGACAAUACAGUAAAAAAUAAGCAAUUGAUGUUAUAGAUUACAUUUCAUGGUGCUGGGAGUGCUGGCUGCUGAUGUGCAUACAGCUGAGGACUUCCUAGGACUUACCCUCAGCCAAAAGAAGCUGAGACAGAAGCUGGCAUCCAAUGGUGGUUGAUUUAGAAAUACAAAGUUACCUUAAUCUGGAACAUUUUUGAGGGGUCAUCGUAACAGCUGUGUUCUCUGUGGGAGGGACUGAGAUCUUUGUUUCAACUGCACGCUAGUUCAACUUCUCCCUCUGCUCACUCCUGCUUUCUUCACUCCCUCUCAGAUGCUGUUUCCCUGAGCAUGCCCCAGACAGCUUCCUGUAUGCAAAUGUCCAUCCCAGAGUCUGUUCUCCUGGGAACCUGAUCUACAGCAGUUGGUGCCAGGAAUGCACUAUGAAAGAAGAAUCUAAAAUGGGAAAUUUGGAACCUAAUAACCACUGGCCUAAUGACAAAAUGCACCUUCACUGGUAAUCAGCGGAGUAUAGAUAGCACCUGGUGUGCCACAGCCGAGCGGUAGCUGAAACUCUCCAGUGGUGAACUGGGAUGAGCUACUGAAAUGGUUCUCAAUGGUGUGUUAUUACCUCUUGCUCAAUCCCUAGGAUAUUUGACAAAGUUGGGAGAUAAUUUUGCUAGUUAUGACCGGGGGUAGGGUAGGAGGAGGGAGUGGUGCUUUUGUCAUCUAGUGGAUGAUGUUAAAUAUUCUACAAUGCAGCCCCUCUCCCCCAACAAAGAAUUAUCCUGUCCAAAAUGUCAAUAAUGUCAAGGAUGAAAAACCAUGCAUUUGCUGGCAAAAUAUUUCAGGUGUUUGAGAGGUCGGGGGAUAUUAGUAAGUAUAAGAACAAUAGACCGAGAUGUUACUUACUGCGAAAGUUUGAGGAUGACUAAUCAUCAAUUUAAGGCAAAGUGUGAGAGUCAAGAACCCCUUGGCAGCAUAUAAAGAAAGUCACAUCUCCUGCAGUAAACCUUGGCAUCAGGCCCAGGGCUUAAUUAUAAGGUAGUUGAACUCCAGAGUAGUUUGAAUUCUCAACCUAAACAAGUCUGCUCUGUCAAUUUUAGAGCCAAGAUCAGGAGAAGUGGAACCUCAGGCUUGGGAUGUGACAUUUGGGUUGACUCACUUGAAAGCCUUGAAGCCCAGAUUCCCCCACCUCUCUUGGCCUGCAUAUGACCUCUCUUAUGGCACUCUGCCUGCUUUCCCCACUCACUCGAAGAUGAUACAGAACACUGCCUUAUAAGACAACAUGUGCUCCCCUUAGGAUUUACUCCUCCCUCCCUUCCUGACAACCAGAUCAAUGACUAAAAUUGAGUAAUGACAAAACCCAGCCAAUAAAGUACUGAGUUUGCUAGAGGAGAAAAGGGACUACAUGUGGAAGAAGUUGCAGUACCUAGACAACUUGAACAGAAUUGUAUAUGUGGGACUUGAUCCUGAUGAUGCUGGAUCAAGGGGGACAGACUAUAAAUUUGGAUAAGUGAGAGAUAUUAAUAUCAAUGUACUCUUCUGUAACACAGGAUAUAAUAUUUGAAAAGGCCCUUAGGAGAUGGUGCUAAUCCACUGCUAGGCUGGCUCUAGGAAGCUUGGAAAAUGGAGACUGUCAUUAAGUGAAGCAGAAAUGCCAGAAUUGCCAUAGUAGGUGGUGGAUGAAGGGAUCAAAAGGCCCAGAGAAGUGGGAGGGCCACAGUGGAUAUGUUCCACUCUACGAGGCUACUGUUAUUGUAGGAUUCUACUGCCCCCAGUGCUAUCAGGGAGCCCAGGUCUGUAACAACUUCUCCUAUCAUCAGUCCUGGCCUAGAUAGGACUACCACCACUGAUAGAUUCUCUGCAAUGCUGGUGCCCCUCCUACCUUAUUGCUUAACAAACAGUGUCUUCCGGGCUGGUGGAUUUUCUGAAUUUAAGUGUCAGCUCGAAGCCCAUGUUCAUUCUUCUACAUCGAACUGCUUCUUAAAUAACAACACCAACAACAAAAUAAUAAGAAACCAGAUAAAACAAACAAACAAAAAACCUCAGCAAGUUCCUCAUCCUAUGCCAUCAUCCUAUAACCCUGAGGCAGUCAUGCCACUUAGAAGACCGGAAAACCCAUCGCGAGUUGACCCAGGCUGCCUUUUCAUUGUCGUAUCAUCGGAGAAACCUGCUCCUGUACUUUCUCUCUUGAGGGUGAAAAAAAAAUCUCCCCUUGUCUUCACAUUCUUUCACAGCUACUUCUAUUUGUCUAUGCCCAUAUUCCUGGGUGCUCUCCUGGCCUACUCUGCCUAACUUUUAAGAUUAGAGGAGAGAAAGCAUUUCAAGACAUUAAUCUCCUAUACAUUUCAAGAUGUUAAUCUCUAGAAAUUUCAUAUUAGGAAAUAUCUUUAAUCCCAGUCUACUGAUAGAAUCUACUGUAAGUUGAACUUUGGUAAACUUUAUAAAAAGGUUUCAGCACUAUAGCUGGCUUUUCAUUGAGAAAUACUUACUCAUACUUUAACUUUCACUGUCUUUGUAAGGUUUUGAAUUCCAGUUUUGUACUUUCAUUAUAGAUCUCCCUAUCUCUAUGGUUUUCUAAAGGAGUUUCUUACAGUUUUUAGAAAAUGUUUUUAUUUCAUAUGGCUUUAUUGAAAUUUGGGAUGGCAUCUCCUGGCAAGGCCACCUAGCACCCACUUCCAUUUUUCUCUGAAGCCAGCCAAAAAUGAAUAGAAUUCACACAUUUCACUCAAGUAAACAUAUUUCGGCCAGAAAAUAUUUUGCAUGUUGGCUUACCAUUAGAUUUAGGUGUAAGAUGUGUUUUAUCUGAUUUCAUAUUCCUUUCAGUAGAGCUUCACAGCUUUCUGAAACAAAAUGCUCUGAAUCUUGAUGUUGAGCUCUGGUCGAGAGAUUCUAUGCAGCAAAGCAGAAGGAAACCACAUGCUUGCUACAUCUCGUUGAAUGGAAUAUAUUUCAUUACUUUGUACAUUAUGUUCUCCAGAUGAGAGGGAAAAGCUAUAAGAACAUUCAAAUAUUCAAUAAAACUGGGGAGAGCGAGUAACUCAUCAAUGUGUCCCCAACAAUACUGCCCCACCAAAUAAAGUCCAAAAAGUAGAUGAAAACAAGAAAAUAUUAUGAAAUACUACAUUCUGUGGAAAUGAGCUGAAAAGGAAAAAUGACUAUUUGAAUAUAUAACACAAUGAAACAAUAAGAUUGUGAACCAAGCUAUAUUGAGAGGAUAUUUGAAAGCC
ensembl:lncRNA